rnacentral:rRNA from 1 species
GGAUUAGAUACCCUGGUAGUCCACGCCGUAAACUAUGAUCACUCGUUGUUGGCGAUAUACAGUCAGCGACUAAGGGAAACCAUUAAGUGAUCCACCUGGGGAGUACGAUCGCAAGGUUGAAACUCAAAGGAAUUGACGGGGGCCCGCACAAGCGGAGGAGCAUGUGGUUUAAUUCGAUGAUACGCGAGGAACCUUACCUGGGCUUAAAUGUAGGAUGACAGUUCCCGAAAGGGGAUUUUUCUUCGGAACAUCUUACAAGGUGCUGCAUGGUUGUCGUCAGCUCGUGUCG